rnacentral:lncRNA from 13 species
UGCUGCACCCUCUGGCCCAUUUCUACAAGUCUGUAUUCAUACAUCUGCCUUUCCUUUAGCUGCUCUUCCUCUGCUCUCUCUCUCUGUCUCCCUGUCUCUGUCUGUCUCUCUCUCUCUCUCUCUNNNNNNNNNNNNNNNNNNNNNNNNNNNNNNNNGAGGGUGUGUCUGUUACUGAGGCAGAGGGUGUGUCUGUUACAGAGGGUGUCUGUUACAGAGGCAGAGGGUGUGUCUGUUACAGAGGCAGAGGGUGUGUCUGUUACAGAGGCAGAGGGUGUGUCUGUUACAGAGGCAGAGGGUGUGUCUGUUACAGAGGGUGUGUCUGUUACUGAGGCAGAGGGUGUGUCUGUUACAGAGGGUGUCUGUUACAGAGGCAGAGGGUGUGUCUGUUACAGAGGCAGAGGGUGUGUCUGUUACAGAGGCAGAGGGUGUGUCUGUUACAGAGGCAGAGGGUGUGUCUGUUACAGAGGGUGUGUCUGUUACAGAGGGUGUGUCUGUUACAGAGGGUGUAUUGUGGGUAUUCUUUUGCCCCAUCUGUUGGCCAGAAGAGGAAGUAGAGUCAGAUGUUUCUGUGUGGAGAGUGUAGAGUCAGAUGUUUCUGUGUGGAGAGUGUUCGUUAGACAACAGUAGUCUGUCUUUCCUGCCCCUUCCUGUCUCCUCCACACAGAAACACACCAGGAAAUCUGGUCCUAAAAAACAUAGGAAUCUAGUUCUGAAAGUCCAGUCCUCACGGCUCCCUUAGACAUUCCAGAUAUGUAUUCUAUUCAAACCCAGUCCUCACGGCUCCCUUAGACAUUCCAGAUAUGUAUUCUAAUCAAACCCAGUCCUCACGGCUCCCUUAGACAUUCCAGAUAUGUAUUCUAUUCAAACUCAUUCCUCACGGCUCCCUUAGACAUUCCAGAUAUGUAUUCUAUUCAAACCCAGUCCUCACGGCUCCCUUAGACAUACCAGAUAUGUAAUUCUAUUCCAACCCAGUCCUCACGGCUCCCUUAGACAUUCCAGAUAUGUAUUCUAUUCCAA